rnacentral:rRNA from 1 species
UACGUAGGGGGCAAGCGUUGUCCGGAUUCAUUGGGCGUAAAGAGCUCGUAGGCGGUUCAGUAAGUCGGGUGUGAAAUCUCCGUGCUCAACACGGAGCGGCCACCUGAUACUGCUGUGACUCGAGUCCGGUAGGGGAGUGUGGAAUUCCCGGUGUAGCGGUGAAAUGCGCAGAUAUCAGGAGGAACACCGGCGGCGAAGGCGGCUCUCUGGACCGAUGCUGACGCUGAGACGCGAAAGCGUGGGGAGCAAACAGG